UCAGAGAGUCCUCUGGCUUUCCCAAUCCCGCCCACAGCCAGCUGAUUGGCUAACUUCCAGGACGCUAAAACCUUGGAUUUUGAGUAACCUGUUCUGCGAGUGAUCUGCAAGAAAAUUGCGUUGUUAAGAAGUUGUUCAUGUCAUCUUAAAUCUCAAAUGUAUUUGCAAAACAUUAUUCAAGAUCCCCCGUGCGCAGAGCCUGGGACCGUGUCGCCUUCCGGGUGUUGUGCACACCUUUGAUUUUCAGCCCAGCUGUACAUCCAAAGAAACACAAACACACAGGGACCGAAAGGAGAAAUAUGUUUGCUCUCUGCCACAUCCCGCUGUUCACGUCUACGUAGAAGCGAGAGGUGGCUGUCCAUUCCAGCUGGAGUCUUGGAUUGGUCCGUUAGUUCGACGAGGGAAUGUCCGUGAUCUCUCCUGCUCAUACGCUUAUACAACAUUGCCGACACCAUGACCGUGGCAUAUUCUUUCAAAUUACUUCAAAA